CAAAGGUCUCUGGUUUUCCUAGGCAGAGGAGCUCCUUGGAUUUUCUUAUCUCCAUGAGUUCCAGGUUCUGCUGUUUGCUCUGAUCCUGUUGAUAUAUGUGCUGAUGCUGCUGGGCAACCUGGCCAUCAUCAGCUUCAUUUGCCUUGAUUCCCGCCUUCACUCACCCAUGUACUUCUUCCUCUGCAACUUCUCCCUCAUGGAGAUGGUGGUCACCUCCACUGUGGUACAUAGGAUGCUGGCAGACCUGCUAUCCACUCACAAGACCAUGUCCCUGGCCAAAUGCCUAACCCAGUCUUUCUUUUACUUCUCCCUGGGCUCUGCCAACUUCCUGAUACUCAUGGUCAUGGCCUUUGAUCGCUACGUGGCCAUCUGCCACCCCCUGCGCUACCCAACCAUCACGAAUGGUCCAGUGUGUGUGAAGCUGGUGGUGGCCUGUUGGGUGGUUGGUUUCCUCUCCAUUGUCUCUCCCACACUGCAGAAAACACGACUCUGGUUCUGUGGCCCUAACAUCAUCGGCCACUACUUCUGUGACUCUGCCCCGCUGCUCAAGCUUGCCUGCUCUGACACCCGCCACAUUGAGCGCAUGGACCUCUUCCUGUCCCUGCUCUUUGUGCUGACCACCAUGCUGCUUAUCAUCCUCUCCUACAUCCUCAUUGUGGCUGCAGUGCUGCACAUCCCUUCCUCCUCUGGAUGCCAGAAGGCCUUCUCCACCUGUGCCUCUCACCUCACAGUGGUGGUUCUGGGCUAUGGCAGUGCCAUCUUCAUCUACGUGAGGCCAGGCAAGGGCCACUCCACAUACCUCAACAAGGCGGUGGCCAUGGUGACUGCAAUGGUAACCCCUUUCCUCAACCCCUUCAUCUUCACCUUCCGGAAUGAGAAGGUCAAGGAGGUCAUUGAGGAUGUGACUAAAAGGAUCUUCCUUGGAGACCCAGCAGCCUGUAGGUGAGAGGGUGAGCCCUUGACAGGGCUAGAGAGCACCUGACAAGUCACGAGGAGUAGACUUGCUGCAGGUGGGCACCCACAUGCCUAAGCUGGAGCUCCUCACUCUCUUUUUUCUCAUUUUCUCCUGGUCCCUCAUCUUCAUGCAAGUUUCUUCUCCU
ensembl:lncRNA novel transcript